rnacentral:rRNA from 11 species
GUCUGUAGCCUGAACAUCCUAAAGGUACCAGAUCCCAUCUGAUGUUGGAAUUUAAGAAGCUCAGCCCUGGUUAAUACUUGGAUUGGAGAUUAACAACAAACAACAGAUGAUGUGGGCU